GCGACCUCAGCUCAGGCGGGGCUACCCGCUGAGUUUAAGCAUAU
rnacentral:rRNA from 1 species